CCCUGGCAAUAACUUACUCUCCCGCGAACUCGCAGUACCAUUAGCGAAUAAGAGCUUAACUUCUGUGUUCGGAAUGAUAACAGGUGUUUCCUCUUUUCUUUAACCACCAGGG
rnacentral:rRNA from 1 species